GUGCCAGCAGCCGCGGUAAUACCGGCAGCCCGAGUGAUGGCCGAUCUUAUUGGGCCUAAGGCGUCCGUAGCUGGCCGCACAAGUCCAUCGGAAAAUCCACCCGCCCAACGGGUGGGCGUCCGGUGGAAACUGUGUGGCUUGGGACCGGAAGGCGCGACGGGUACGUCCGGGGUAGGAGUGAAAUCCUGUAAUCCUGGACGGACCGCCGAUGGCGAAAGCACGUCGCGAGGACGGAUCCGACAGUGAGGGACGAAAGCCAGGGUCUCGAACCGGAUUAGAAACCCCUGUAGU
rnacentral:rRNA from 1 species